rnacentral:rRNA from 1 species
GGGGAAUUUUCCGCAAUGGGCGAAAGCCUGACGGAGCAAGACCGCGUGGGGGAAGAAGGCUCUUGGGUUGUAAACCCCUUUUCUCUGGGAAGAACGCAAUGACGGUACCAGAGGAAUCAGCAUCGGCUAACUCCGUGCCAGCAGCCGCGGUAAGACGGAGGAUGCAAGCGUUAUCCGGAAUGAUUCGGCGUAAAGCGUCCGCAGGUGGCAGUUCAAGUGUGCUGUCAAAGACCGGGGCUCAACCUCGGAAAGGCAGUGGAAACUGAACAGCUAGAGUAUGGUAGGGGCAAAGGGAAUUCCUGGUGUAGCGGUGAAAUGCGUAGAGAUCAGGAAGAACAUCGGUGGCGAAGGCGCUUUGCUGGACCAUAACUGACACUCAGGGACGAAAGCUAGGGGAGCGAAUGGGAUUAGAUACCCCCGUAGUCCUAGCCGUAAAACGAUGGAUACUAGGUGUUGUGUGUAUCGAUCCCGGA